GACGAACGCUGGCGGCGUGCUUAACACAUGCAAGUCGAACGGUAAGGCCCUUCGGGGUACACGAGUGGCGAACGGGUGAGUAACACGUGGGUGAUCUGCCCUGCACUUCGGGAUAAGCCUGGGAAACUGGGUCUAAUACCGGAUAGGACCACUGCCUGCCUGGGCGGUGGUGGAAAGCUUUUGCGGUGUGGGAUGGGCCCGCGGCCUAUCAGCUGGUUGGUGGGGUGAUGGCCGACCAAGGCGACGACGGGUAGCCGGGCUGGGAGGGUGACCGGCCACACUGGGCCUGAGAGACGGCGCAGACUCCUACGGGAGGCAGAAGUGGGGAAUAUUGCACAAUGGGCGCAAGCCUGAUGCAGCGACGCCGCGUGAGGGAUGACGGCCUUCGGGUUGUAAACCUCUUUCAGCACCGACGAAGCGCAAGUGACGGUAGGUGCAGAAGAAGGACCGGCCAACUACGUGCCAGCCGCCGCAGUAA
rnacentral:rRNA from 1 species